rnacentral:rRNA from 1 species
UGGGUAACCUGCCCUUAACUCUGGGAUAAGCCUGGGAAACUGGGUCUAAUACCGGAUAUGACUCCUCAUCGCAUGGUGGGGGGUGGAAAGCUUUAUUGUGGUUUUGGAUGGACUCGCGGCCUAUCAGCUUGUUGGUGAGGUAAUGGCUCACCAAGGCGACGACGGGUAGCCGGCCUGAGAGGGUGACCGGCCACACUGGGACUGAGACACGGCCCAGACCUCCGUACGGGAGGCAG